CGCCGCAGCUGCCGCUGGGGCUGCCGCGGGCGCCGCUCAGCCGGAGCGCGCCUCCGCCCGGCCCGCCCGCGCCCCGCAGCAGCGCGCUCGCUCCUUAACCACUUCGCCGCUGCCUUUCGUCGGGGCCGCGAGCGGGGCGACGGCCGCCCAGCGCCCCUGGCACCCCUGAUCUCCAGCCGGGGCUCCCGGCCCGCGCCUUGGUGGCUGGAGGCCCAGGAUGAGCCUCGAUGGCGAGAGGCCCAGGAUGCGCCACCAGGCCGGGCUCACUUCUUUGACGCCGAAUAAACUGACAAAACAAUUAGCUGGCCGGCUGGGGAAGGUGGUGGGUGACUCAAAUGCCAGUCGGCUGCGUGCCCCCGCGCUUAGAUGAGUCUGGGAUUCUGGGCAGUUGGGACUUUCUUUUCAGGAAAGGAGGUGAGAGGUGCCGGGGAAGCCCACACGAGCAGCCACUCUUGGAGAAAUGGGGAAUGGCGCUGUAAAAGCGCAGGCCCUCCUCCUCCUCCUUUCUCCCCAUCACACAAAAAGGAUGGGCCUUGAAAGGGAUGAGUUUAUUAUGCACUUUUAAAUGCCUAUUCAGAAAAGAACAGGAGGCAAAAAUAAAGAUGCUUCCCACCCCACCAAUUCCCUUCCCUCGAAGAAAAAAGGAAAGAGAAAGCAACCCACAAAGGUCUUUCUUUCCAGACCUGUGGUCUCUCCCCACCUCCAGCCUCUUAUGGAGAGCAAAGGAAGGAAAUGGGAACAGGACUCAACAGCAACAUUCCAGGAAAAUGAAUAGAAUGUGGGAACGGUUCGAAAUGAUAAAUCCAGGUGAUAGAACGAGUUUCAAAGAGCAAGAGCCUGAUGGUAAUAGGGAAGCCAGGGGAACGGCAGAGGUUGUGCAGAAGACGACUCUGGCAAAAUAAGGACUGUGGAGAGAAAGUAAGUGGCUUUUAAGAUCUUAAACAUGGGGUCAAAAUUAUACCAUGAGAAGAAAGAAAAAGUCCCUGGGAGUGUUUGUAGACAGACCAAAGGACAGAACGUGAAGAAGGGCCUAUGAGAGAAUUGGUAUCCGGAAGAUUGUUUAUGUGCAACACUUCUGAGGAAUAAAGGGUGAUAAACUGUCUCGUGAGAAUGAACUACUGGAAGGACGGAGAGACACAAGGAAUGGCUGCAGUCAAGGUGAAAUGUAGGCCGUUGUGAGAGUUUCAUCCCAGGGCAUGAUGAGAAUGCCAGGGCCUGAUGCGUGUCAACGGUGCUUCAUCUGCUCAGAGAGUGUCCUAAAACCAGUCAGACCCUAGAUGUAGAAGUAUGCCACCCAAUGUCACCUAGCAGUUCAAUGCCAGGGAGAGAAAAUUCAGGCUUUCUUAUCCCCCUUCUAGUGCAAGCCCAUGGAAUAUGCCACUUUCCUAGUUAGGAUUUGGAAUUGGUCAUUGGGAAGGGCUCCGAAGAGAAACUCUGAGAAUUGUUGAUUUCCAUUUCAAAUCCCCCUAAUGCAUAAAAUAAGAAUGUGUUCUGCGGUGUUCCUCAGCUUAUUAACUUUUAUAAAAGAAAGGAAUGAUCUUUGUUGUUACUUGAAAACAGCCACAUUUGGAAAGGUCUACGCUACCCAAAUGUAAUAAAAAUAAAUUUUAGUUCAAUUGGUCAGUCUUGAAAGCUAAUUGAACAGUCAUGCUUUGUUCUAAUUAUUCCUGGCUACCAUUAAAGUGAUGGAAAAGUAAGUACGUUUUUAUUGCCAACUCCUUGGGUUUUUUUCUCUUUUUUUAAUUUGUUUGUUUUGUUUUUAAAUAAGACUAACCAGUUUGGGCAAGGACCUAAUGCUCUCUCAGCAGGUAAAUUUUGCAACAAUGUUUCUGAAACCCUGGGUUCUGGGAUGCCGUGUGGGUCUUCAUCACUUGCAAAAGCUGUACUCAUGGAGCCUGAAAUCUAGCUGAAUUCUGCAUGGGUACAAAAUAUGGUGUUCUGGUUGACUGGAUACCAUGAUUAACUGAUGGUGACAACACACAUCAUAAACCAUUGUCUGAUUCUUAAAAAAUUCAAAGAUCGUUAAAGGAGAGUUAGAUGCCAGCUCAUCUUACACAGAGCAUCAGGCAGAAAUUGUUGGUAAUCUGGCAAAUGAAACUACUCAUAUCCUAUGAUGUUCGGUUUGUUUAUAGACUGAAUUUGCACAUAAUCGAGAGUUAUUUCCUCACAAAUAAUUUAUCUCUAAUGAAUAAUGAUGUCUUUGUUGUGAGCUCAUGGUCCAAAUAGCAAGUUUCCC
rnacentral:lncRNA from 1 species